GAAUGGAUUGUUGUGCCAUAUCUGUUCUGCUUCCCAUUUGGCUACAAAAAGGUUGGCGUAACUCGGCGUGAACCUGGCACCCGUGGCUGUCCCACAUAGUUGACGGUAUAAAUACACAGUUAACCUCUUUGUGUCCAGAGGGAAGGACAAUCUUUCAAGCCAUGGUUCCCCAGAGGUUUCCCCCCUUAGGGUGGUUUUUCCUCUCCUGUGUGCUGAAAGGUGACUCUUCGUGAGUCUCGAGGUAGCUGUCACCAUGAUUAAUUAAUUAAUGUUGUAAUUAAUAAUAAAUAAAUUAAAUGA